rnacentral:rRNA from 1 species
AGACGUCUACAUUAGAUACCCGUGUAGUCCCAGCCCUAAACGAUGCGCGUUAGGUGUAUCGGUGACCACGAGUCACCGAGGUGCCGAAGGGAAACCGUGAAACGUGCCGCCUGGGAAGUACGGUCGCAAGGCUGGAACUUAAAGGAAUUGGCGGGGGAGCACCACAACGGGUGGAGCCUGCGGUUUAAUUGGACUCAACGCCGGGAAGCUUACCGGAUAAGACAGCGGAAUGAUUGCCGGGCUGAAGACUCUGCAUGACCAGCUG